rnacentral:ncRNA from 1 species
AAGGAGAAACAUUAUAUAAAUAUUUAUAGACUUUUAAAUGAACAUUUAAAAUUGAUAUUACAGUACUAAUACUCAUCCUUACUUCCCUUUUUUCUCCAAUAGAACUUUCUAAUUCAAGUGGGUCCUCGACGACUUCCAGACCCCAAAGAGGCAUGAAAUCACCAAUGGACGGAAGACCAAACUUAAACUAAUUUCUCGACAAACAUAAAUAUAAAUAGAAAAUAAAUGCCCGCUAAUAAUUUCUAAGUCAGUUCCUGAUCCUGUGGUUUCGUUGCCUCCCAUUUUUUCUUUUAAAAUUGGCUUUAACAAUAAAUUUUAUUUUGGUCAAUUGACCCUAUUCUUUUAUUUUUGAUUGGAUUAAACCUGUUAUGUCAUCUGACGGUGCAGGUUGAGAGACACAAGUUCAUUUAUUUUAUUUUUUGCUCUCAUUUAGAAAUUGUCCCUAUCUACUAUCUAGCGAAACCACAGCCAAGAAACCACAGCGAAACCCGGCCGCUGCCGGCAGAUGCACGCAAACAAGGGGGUGCUAAGCUGCAGCGAGUAGGAGGGUCGCUGCGGUGAGCGUUGAAGGUGUCGGGCGUAAGCCCGCCUGGAGCCGCCGCUGGUGCAGAUCUUGGUGGUAGUAGCAAAUACUCAAGUGAGAACCUUGAGGACUGAAGUGGAGAAGGGUUCCAUGUGAACAGCAGUUGAACAUGGGUCAGUCGGUCCUAAGGGAAAGGAGAAGUUCUUUCCGAAGCGGGAGCACUUUUUUGCAGUGGAGAGAGCCCCGCAGUGACCGAAAGGGAAUCGGGUUAAUAAUCCCGAACCCGGACACGGAGAUUGGUCCUUCGGGGCCCAGUGCGGUAACGCAAACCAGCUCGGAGACGCCGAUGCGAGCCCCGGGAAGAGUUUUCUUUUCUCUGUAAGGAGAUCGAGUCCCUGGAAUGGGUUCGCCCCGAGAUAGGGAUGGUGGCUCCGUAGAGCAGUGCGGUUCUUGCGCUGUCCGGUGCGCUCGCGUCGGCCCUUGAAAAUCCGAGUGAGGGAGUGUGAUUUUCGUGCCGGACCGUACCCACAUCCGCAGCAGGUCUCCAAGGUGAACAGC